UACAGAGGGUGCGAGCGUUGUUCGGAAUUAUUGGGCGUAAAGCGCGAGUAGGCGGUCUGUUAAGUCGCGUGUGAAAGCUCCCAGCUCAACUGGGAAAGUGCGCGCGAAACUGGUGGACUUGAGUGCUGGAGAGGGUGGCGGAAUUCCCGGUGUAGAGGUGAAAUUCGUAGAUAUCGGGAGGAACACCAGAGGCGAAGGCGGCCACCUGGAAAGUCACUGACGCUGAGAAGCGAAAGCGUGGGGAGCAAAC
rnacentral:rRNA from 1 species